AUGGCCUCCCCAGAGGAUGCCAUCUCGUCCACGAGCGGCGGCGCCUCGGCGUCCGCUAACCCUAAUCUGGAAGAGUUUUUCGACCAGCUCGAUCUCAAUGAGGAAGAGUUCAAUGAUGUGGAAAUUGAUGAGGAUGACCCGGUGAUCAAGGAAAGCGUCCGGUGGCUUGCCCUCGCGAGGGUGCACACCGAGAUUUUUUUUUCUCCAUCUGCCUUCUACAAGGACAUGAGGGCGGCUUGGAACCCUGCGCAACUGGUGAGAUUCAGACCGGUUGGGCCUAAUAGAUUUGUGGUUCAAGCAUCCUGCUUGGGUGAUUGGGAACGCAUCAUGGGGCAAGGGCCAUGGAUUUUCCGGAACAUGGCAGUACUUCUAUGUCCGUAUGAUGGGUUCAGUAGAGCGGAGGAAGUCGUGUUCGAUCAUAUGCCAAUCUGGCUACAGAUUCACAAGCUGCCUGACCCCUUCUGCAAAGAGAACAUCGUUCAGAAAUUGUUGAAGGGUGCGGGGGAAAUAAUGGAGAUGCGCCUGAACGGGAACACUCGUGGGGAUUACGUAAGGGUGAGGGUAAAUCAUGAUAUUCAGAAGCCCCUGACGAAGUUUGUGAGCAUAGUCCGAGCCAAGGAGCGCCAGGUAUAUCUGGUGCGCUAUGAGAAAUUGGCCCGUUUCUGCAGGGCGUGCGGUUUGAUCGGUCAUGAUUAUAAGGAGUGUGGUCUGGGAAUUCAUGAUGCAACAAAGCUCAAAUACGGGGAGUGGCUGUAUGCCGAUGGCCCAAACAGCUACAGGUCCGAUCUGAACAGUGGUAGUCAGGCUGCACCUCGUCGUCAGGGGAGGCCGAGUAGCCCGACAGGUACUCCAAGAUCAACUAAGCAAGAUCAAGACCCGGAGACCAGAGAUAUUGCUACGAGCCCCUUAAAGGGCAUUGUGGCUAGGAUGGAAGUGGACCGUGAUGCUAGGAAGAGGCUCAAUAUGGAGGAUGACACCGCUGGGGUGAUCAGGGAACCCAGUGCUCGGAAGCCGGUCCUUGCCAUCACCAAUGGGAGUGGAACAGAGUUGGGAUCAGCGAGCUCACCAACUAGCAGCACGUCAAGCUCCAAACGUGCAAAGCUCGCUAAGGAAAACGUUACCAAUGUUACAUCGGCGGCCUCCCUGGAGGAGGACCGCCGGACGCAAUGA
rnacentral:rRNA from 1 species